UGUGAGCUCGAUGAGUAGGGCGGGACACGUGGUAUCCUGUCUGAAUAUGGGGGGACCAUCCUCCAAGGCUAAAUACUCCUGACUGACCGAUAGUGAACCAGUACCGUGAGGGAAAGGCGAAAAGAACCCCGGCGAGGGGAGUGAAAAAGAACCUGAAACCGUGUACGUACAAGCAGUGGGAGCACGCUUCGGCGUGUGACUGCGUACCUUUUGUAUAAUGGGUCAGCGACUUAUAUUCUGUAGCAAGGUUAACCGAAUAGGGGAGCCGAAGGGAAACCGAGUCUUAACUGGGCGUUAAGUUGCAGGGUAUAGACCCGAAACCCGGUGAUCUAGCCAUGGGCAGGUUGAAGGUUGGGUAACACUAACUGGAGGACCGAACCGACUAAUGUUGAAAAAUUAGCGGAUGACUUGUGGCUGGGGGUGAAAGGCCAAUCAAACCGGGAGAUAGCUGGUUCUCCCCGAAAGCUAUUUAGGUAGCGCCUCGUGAAUUCAUCUCCGGGGGUAGAGCACUGUUUCGGCAAGGGGGUCAUCCCGACUUACCAACCCGAUGCAAACUGCGAAUACCGGAGAAUGUUAUCACGGGAGACACACGGCGGGUGCUAACGUCCGUCGUGAAGAGGGAAACAACCCAGACCGCCAGCUAAGGUCCCAAAGUCAUGGUUAAGUGGGAAACGAUGUGGGAAGGCCCAGACAGCCAGGAUGUUGGCUUAGAAGCAGCCAUCAUUUAAAGAAAGCGUAAUAGCUCACUGGUCGAGUCGGCCUGCGCGGAAGAUGUAACGGGGCUAAACCAUGCACCGAAGCUGCGGCAGCGACGCUGAUGCGUUGUUGGGUAGGGGAGCGUUCUGUAAGCCUGCGAAGGUGUGCUGUGAGGCAUGCUGGAGGUAUCAGAAGUGCGAAUGCUGACAUAAGUAACGAUAAAGCGGGUGAAAAGCCCGCUCGCCGGAAGACCAAGGGUUCCUGUCCAACGUUAAUCGGGGCAGGGUGAGUCGACCCCUAAGGCGAGGCCGAAAGGCGUAGUCGAUGGGAAACAGGUUAAUAUUCCUGUACUUGGUGUUACUGCGAAGGGGGGACGGAGAAGGCUAUGUUGGCCGGGCGACGGUUGUCCCGGUUUAAGCGUGUAGGCUGGUUUUCCAGGCAAAUCCGGAAAAUCAAGGCUGAGGCGUGAUGACGAGGCACUACGGUGCUGAAGCAACAAAUGCCCUGCUUCCAGGAAAAGCCUCUAAGCAUCAGGUAACAUCAAAUCGUACCCCAAACCGACACAGGUGGUCAGGUAGAGAAUACCAAGGCGCUUGAGAGAACUCGGGUGAAGGAACUAGGCAAAAUGGUGCCGUAACUUCGGGAGAAGGCACGCUGAUAUGUAGGUGAAGUCCCUCGCGGAUGGAGCUGAAAUCAGUCGAAGAUACCAGCUGGCUGCAACUGUUUAUUAAAAACACAGCACUGUGCAAACACGAAAGUGGACGUAUACGGUGUGACGCCUGCCCGGUGCCGGAAGGUUAAUUGAUGGGGUUAGCCGCAAGGCGAAGCUCUUGAUCGAAGCCCCGGUAAACGGCGGCCGUAACUAUAACGGUCCUAAGGUAGCGAAAUUCCUUGUCGGGUAAGUUCCGACCUGCACGAAUGGCGUAAUGAUGGCCAGGCUGUCUCCACCCGAGACUCAGUGAAAUUGAACUCGCUGUGAAGAUGCAGUGUACCCGCGGCAAGACGGAAAGACCCCGUGAACCUUUACUAUAGCUUGACACUGAACAUUGAGCCUUGAUGUGUAGGAUAGGUGGGAGGCUUAGAAGUGUGGACGCCAGUCUGCAUGGAGCCGACCUUGAAAUACCACCCUUUAAUGUUUGAUGUUCUAACGUUGACCCGUAAUCCGGGUUGCGGACAGUGUCUGGUGGGUAGUUUGACUGGGGCGGUCUCCUCCUAAAGAGUAACGGAGGAGCACGAAGGUUGGCUAAUCCUGGUCGGACAUCAGGAGGUUAGUGCAAUGGCAUAAGCCAGCUUGACUGCGAGCGUGACGGCGCGAGCAGGUGCGAAAGCAGGUCAUAGUGAUCCGGUGGUUCUGAAUGGAAGGGCCAUCGCUCAACGGAUAAAAGGUACUCCGGGGAUAACAGGCUGAUACCGCCCAAGAGUUCAUAUCGACGGCGGUGUUUGGCACCUCGAUGUCGGCUCAUCACAUCCUGGGGCUGAAGUAGGUCCCAAGGGUAUGGCUGUUCGCCAUUUAAAGUGGUACGCGAGCUGGGUUUAGAACGUCGUGAGACAGUUCGGUCCCUAUCUGCCGUGGGCGCUGGAGAACUGAGGGGGGCUGCUCCUAGUACGAGAGGACCGGAGUGGACGCAUCACUGGUGUUCGGGUUGUCAUGCCAAUGGCACUGCCCGGUAGCUAAAUGCGGAAGAGAUAAGUGCUGAAAGCAUCUAAGCACGAAACUUGCCCCGAGAUGAGUUCUCCCUGACUCCUUGA
rnacentral:rRNA from 1 species